AUACAGUUGACGAGUCCUAAAUAGGACGAAAUGUGCAUCAUGUUU
rfam:Schistosoma mattheei strain Denwood, Zambia genome assembly, scaffold: SMTD_scaffold0015299